CCAGACUCCUACGGGAGGCAGCAGUGGGGAAUAUUGGGCAAUGGAGGAAACUCUUACCCAGCAAUGCCGCGUGAAUGAAGAAGGUCUUCGGAUUGUAAAGUUCUUUAAUUGGGGACGAAAAAAAUGACGGUACCCAAGGAAUAAGCCCCGGCUAACUACGUGCCAGCAGCCGCGGUAAUACGUAUGGAGCAAGCGUUAUCCGGAUUUACUGGGUGUAAAGGGAGCGCAGGCGGCCUUGCAAGUCUGAUGUGAAAGGCCGGGGCCCAACCCCGGGACUGCAUUGGAAACUGCGAGGCUGGAGUGUCGGAGAGGCAGGCGGAAUUCCUAGUGUAGCGGUGAAAUGCGUAGAUAUUAGGAGGAACACCAGUGGCGAAGGCGGCCUGCUGGACGAUGACUGACGCUGAGGCUCGAAAGCGUGGGGAGCAAACAGGAUUAGAUACCCCCGUAU
rnacentral:rRNA from 1 species